rnacentral:rRNA from 1 species
CUAUUCCGAAGGGGCAUGCCUGUUUGAGUAUCAUGAACAUCCAACUCCUCACGGUUCGCCCGUGAUGAGCUUGGACUUUGGGGGUCUUGCUGGCCUGUGGGUCGGCUCCUCUCAAAUGAAUUAGCUUGCCAGUGUUUGGUGGCAUCACAGGUGUGAUAACUAUCUACGCUUGUGGUUUUCCACCAGGUAACCUUCAGUGAUGGAGGUUCGCUGGAGCUCAUAAAUGUCCCUCCUCAGCGAGGACAGCUUCUUGAAUGUUUGAUCUCAAAUCAGGUAGGGCUACCCGCUGAACUUAAGCAUAUCAAUAAGCGGAGG